rnacentral:rRNA from 1 species
AUUGAACGCUGGCGGCAGGCCUAACACAUGCAAGUCGAACGGAGUGGCGGACGGGUGAGUAAUGUCUGGGAAACUGCCUGAUGGAGGGGGAUAACUACUGGAAACGGUAGCUAAUACCGCAUACUAUCAGAUGAGCCUAGGUCGGAUUAGCUAGUUGGUGGGGUAAAGGCCUACCAAGGCGAAGAUCCGUAACUGGGCUGAGAGGAUGAACGAGCAACACGGGACUUAGGAACGGUCCCGACUCCUACCGGAGGCAACAAGGGGGAAAUUUGGGAAAUGGGCGGAAGCCUGAAUCAGCCAUGCCGGGGGUGUGGAGGAGGGCUUCGGAUUGGAAAGCUCGUUAAGCGGGAAGGCGGUACCGGAAUAGAAAGCCACGGCUAACUACGUGCCAGCCGCCGCGGUAAUUC